rnacentral:lncRNA from 1 species
CAGGAUUUCUACAUUUGUGUAGAAUCAGACUACUGAUCUCUGUGGCUACCAGAAAUCUGGACAUCUCAAGCUUCUGCAGUUAUAUAGAUGGCACAUACAGUACCACACAGCCAAGAUUUCCUCUCAUCACAGGGUGGCACAUGCUUCCUGAUACCUUACUGCCAAGAUACCUGGUAUAAAAAAAAUUAUUUCAUCAUUUAAUUUGCAAUAUAUGAGUAACACGCAAUCACAAUAUACUCCUGCCUCUCCUUAGAGUUGAGUAUUAUAAAAAGUACAUAG